GACAGAGGUGGCGAGCGUUGUUCGGUGUCACUGGGCUUAGAGCGUGUGUAGGCGGGAAAGUAAGCACUUUGUGAAAUCCCCCGGCUUAACCGGGGAAUUGCUUGGUGUACUGCUUUUCUUGAGGCAAGUAGGGGUGCGAGGAACUCUUGGUGGAGCGGUGGAAUGCGUAGAUAUCAAGAGGAACGCCGGUGGUGAAGACGUCGCACUAGGCUUGUCCUGACGCUGAGACACGAAAGCGUGGGGAGCAAACGGG
rnacentral:rRNA from 1 species